GUUGGCAAGAGGAAGUUAUAAAAAUAAAAGUCUUCUCUCUUCAAAACUAGAAAAAGAAAAGUACUUUCAGGAGAAGGAAAAACCUUUUCCCCUUUUAAAAUUUGGAAGGCAGAAAAUACAGAGAGGAUAGUGGGUAAAAACAAGCGAAAAUGUGGGAACCGAAUUAAAAUAUUCCUGACUUCUGGCACUCACCCAGAGUAAAUGAACAGUGUGCAUGCACUCUGAAAAGCUAGAAAAUGCCAUAUAUAUAUUUAUAUUUGAUGUGAUGGGUGCAGAGUGGUGGUUGCUCCCAGCCAGGUCAUUUCAAUAACAACAGGAGACCACAGUUCCUGCUGAAUGGCAUCUUUCAGGCUGAAGAGCUUCCGCCGUCUCUCCACUUCCAUACUGAUUAGAAGUGCUUGAGAUACAUCAUAACAGUGUCAGUGCAGUGUUUAUGGGGGAAAUUGUCGCUGUCUCUUGCUUGUGGAAGGUGACAUAAUGGGAUUUCUUCCCUUUGUCCUGGUGACAGGAUGAUGAGCACUGUGUAGGCUCCAGUUCCGCAUGCUUUGCCAUUCAGGCAUCCGGCGCAGCUGACAAGCCCGAGGAUCCAUGGAGAAGAAUCAGCAUUUCAAGCACCCAAAAUGUGUAGAAGAAUAUGGACCAAAGAAAGGAGCAGAAAGACAAAUAGAGGAAUGGAGAAUUUUGCCUGCGACUAUGAUGUUCUCAAGGUUAGCCGACCGUGCUCUAAAAUCCACCAAGAUUCCCAUUUUGGGAGUUGCUAUGUGACCAAGGUCUGCCCCUGUGGUAUGGGGACCACUUGCUCAUGCAGUUACAGUUCUUGCCUAACAGGAGCCCAUCAUGGUAAGAAAAAGACUCAAGUUGGUUCAUUUUUUUUUUAAGGUUGCAAGGAAAUCAAGUCCUUAACCAUGCUUACUCUCACAUUUAUUGAAACAGGCCGAUCUCAGAACUAAAUGAUAAGAAUGAAAAUUAACCAGGACUCCCAUGGGCCUCACAUAUGGCAGUUUUGAAUCUGUUCUUUUUUUCACUAUCAUAAUUGUUUUUUUUAAACUCAUUUUCUCUGGUUGAAUACACAACUGUAAAAAAAGUGGGGGUAGUGGUGGUGAUGGAAAUGAAUGAAGCCAUGGAAACAGUGAGACAUCUACAGAGACAAAAUUAGGAAAGAAGGAAACAAAAGCCAUUCCCGUAUCUCUGUGCAAGGCCUGCGGACCUUUCCUUGCCAAUACCCCUGGAUCACGCUCGUCUCAUGAGGUAGCAGGUGUUUCCUUGACUCACACAGAAAACAAGCCCUUGGGCUUCUUGUGCUGUUAGGGCGAGUUACAUUCAGCAUGUGAACAGUGAGCCCUGCUCUGUCUGUCCAUCCUUCCCAGAAGAGACACAGAUGAUCAAGUAGUUGAGAAAACAGUUCAAGAGGAGGCUUGGUGUCUUUUCUUAAUUUGAGGGAACUUAAAAUAAAAAUGCUUCUUGACAUUAUAAAUAGAAUUCAAUGGAUCAUGAGGUCAAGAGAUCGAGACCAUCCUGGUCAACAAGGUGAAACCCCGUCUCUACUAAAAAUACAAAAAUUAGCUGGGCAUGGUGGCGCGUGCCUGUAGUCCCAGCUACUCGGGAGGCUGAGGCAGGAGAAUUGCUUGAACCCAGGAGGCGGAGGUUGUGGUGAGCCGAGAUCGUGCCAUUGCACUCCAGUCAGGAUAACAACAGUGAAACUCCGUCUCAAAAAAAAAAAAAAAGAAAAAGAAAAAGAAAAAGCUGAGAAUUCUUGUGAAAUAGUCAAAUAGGAAUAGAAAGCAAGCAACCAGAUAGAAUAUCGUGCCCAGAACAUGAUUUACUUUGCUAGAACGUUACCACUUUAACACACAGAAACCUUUUCACACUAGUUAACAAAUAGCAUUAAGCAUGAUUCAAGUCAAGACUUUAAAAACUUGGCUGAUGCCUCUCAUUAAGAAUUGAAAACUGCGUAAGACUCUUGCUCCAGGAAACUGCGUUCUGACAUUUUAAUAAUAUUGCCUUAGCAAGAGCAGAAAAUCCAUGAACUUAGAUUCACAGAAAGUAAAUCAAGAAUCCAUCCAAAAUGGAGUGCCUUUUGCUGAGUGAUGGGAUAGCUUUCAUGUGAGAUGUCAGUGCAGCUUCUAUACUUGACAUAAGAGUUCCCAUUAAAAAAAAAAAAAAGAACUACUGCUCAAUUUUUUAAAAAUCAAGCAGAGUUAUCUAAAGUGCUUUUUAGAAGAGACUAUUAGGAAAGGAAUGGAAAGUAGUCAUUAUGACUAAUCUGCUUUAGGAGUUGGGGUAACCAGUAUCACUGGAGGGACUUUCAGAGCCACAGGGACCUUUUAGGCAACUCAGAUUCCUUCAAUUGUUUGCAGUGGUCCUCGCGAGGGGACGUAAUGAGCUGAUGUGCACCAGAACAGGUAGAAGGCACUGCCAGCUGGUAGUUUACUAGUGUACAGGAAGGCUGCUUUUCUAAUACACAAUUCUUUGUUGUGUUAAAGAGAAAUAAAUAUAUAAAAGCCUGAAA